rnacentral:misc_RNA from 1 species
UCCUGGUUAACCCAGGCAGUCUCAUUAGAGUUCCCACCUUAAAUGUUGGCAACUAAUGACAAGGGUUGCGCUCGUUGCGGGACUUAACCCAACACCUCACGGCACGAGCUGACGACAGCCAUGCAGCACCUGUGCAGCAGUCCCGAAGGAAGACCCCAUUUCUGGAGCUGUCUACUGCAUGUCAAGCCUAGGUAAGGUUCUUCGCGUUGCAUCGAAUUAAACCACAUGCUCCACUGCUUGUGCGGGUCCCCGUCAAUUCUUUUGAGUUUCACCCUUGCGAGCGUACUCCCCAGGCGGUAUACUUAACACGUUAGCUACGGCACAGCCAGGGUUGAAUCCAGCUACACCAAGUAUACAUCGUUUACGGCUAGGACUAC